GAUGAACGCUGGCGGCGUGCCUAAUACAUGCAAGUCGAGCGAACGGACGAGAAGCUUGCUUCUCUGAUGUUAGCGGCGGACGGGUGAGUAACACGUGGAUAACCUACCUAUAAGACUGGGAUAACUUCGGGAAACCGGAGCUAAUACCGGAUAAUAUUUUGAACCGCAUGGUUCAAAAGUGAAAGACGGUCUUGCUGUCACUUAUAGAUGGAUCCGCGCUGCAUUAGCUAGUUGGUAAGGUAACGGCUUACCAAGGCAACGAUGCAUAGCCGACCUGAGAGGGUGAUCGGCCACACUGGAACUGAGACACGGUCCAGACUCCUACGGGAGGCAGCAGUAGGGAAUCUUCCGCAAUGGGCGAAAGCCUGACGGAGCAACGCCGCGUGAGUGAUGAAGGUCUUCGGAUCGUAAAACUCUGUUAUUAGGGAAGAACAUAUGUGUAAGUAACUGUGCACAUCUUGACGGUACCUAAUCAGAAAGCCACGGCUAACUACGUGCCAGCAGCCGCGGUAAUACGUAGGUGGCAAGCGUUAUCCGGAAUUAUUGGGCGUAAAGCGCGCGUAGGCGGUUUUUUAAGUCUGAUGUGAAAGCCCACGGCUCAACCGUGGAGGGUCAUUGGAAACUGGAAAACUUGAGUGCAGAAGAGGAAAGUGGAAUUCCAUGUGUAGCGGUGAAAUGCGCAGAGAUAUGGAGGAACACCAGUGGCGAAGGCGACUUUCUGGUCUGUAACUGACGCUGAUGUGCGAAAGCGUGGGGAUCAAACAGGAUUAGAUACCCUGGUAGUCCACGCCGUAAACGAUGAGUGCUAAGUGUUAGGGGGUUUCCGCCCCUUAGUGCUGCAGCUAACGCAUUAAGCACUCCGCCUGGGGAGUACGACCGCAAGGUUGAAACUCAGAGGAAUUGACGGGGACCCGCACAAGCGGAGGAGCAUGUGGUUUAAUUCGAAGCAACGCGAAGAACCUUACCAAAUCUUGACACCCUUUGACAACUCUAGAGAUAGAGCUUUCCCCUUCGGGGGACAAAGUGACAGGUGGUGCAUGGUUGUCGUCAGCUCGUGUCGUGAGAUGUUGGGUUAAGUCCCGCAACGAGCGCAACCCUUAAGCUUAGUUGCCAUCAUUAAGUUGGGCACUCUAAGUUGACUGCCGGUGACAAACCGGAGGAAGGUGGGGAUGACGUCAAAUCAUCAUGCCCCUUAUGAUUUGGGCUACACACGUGCUACAAUGGACAAUACAAAGGGCAGCGAAACCGCGAGGUCAAGCAAAUCCCAUAAAGUUGUUCUCAGUUCGGAUUGUAGUCUGCAACUCGACUACAUGAAGCUGGAAUCGCUAGUAAUCGUAGAUCAGCAUGCUACGGUGAAUACGUUCCCGGGUCU
rnacentral:rRNA from 1 species